CCCGCCGGUUCCCGUCAAAAGGCGGCACCGGGAAGGUGGGGGGGGGCGGCGGUGCCAGGAACGAAGUGACUUUCCAUCCGUUGGAGGUGGGACUGCCUGGAUCAGUGAGUUCCCAGCACAAAGAAGACAAAGGAAUCCAUGGUGUCUGCCCGGGACCUGCUGACGUGACUCCUGAGUGACUCCUGAGUGACUCCUGAGCUCCCCGGGUCACCGGGACGCCGGUG